UACAGAGGGUGCGAGCGUUAAUCGGAAUUACUGGGCGUAAAGGGCGCGUAGGCGGUCAUAAGAGUGUGAUGUGAAAGCCCCGGGCUUAACCUGGGAAGCGCAUCGCAAACGCUAUGACUGGAGUAUAUGAGAGGGUGGCGGAAUUUCCGGUGUAGCGGUGAAAUGCGUAGAUAUCGGAAGGAACGUCGAUGGCGAAGGCAGCCACCUGGCAUAAUACUGACGCUGAAGCGCGAAAGCGUGGGGAGCGAAC
rnacentral:rRNA from 1 species